UCCAUCUCUUGUUUCACG
rnacentral:misc_RNA from 1 species